CUGUACUUGGUGUUACUGCGAAGGGGGGACGGAGAAGGCUAUGUUAGCCGGGCGACGGUUGUCCCGGUUUAAGCAUGUAGGCUGGUUAUCCAGGCAAAUCCGGAUAAUCAAGGCUGAGGUGUGAUGACGAGGUACUACGGUGCUGAAGUAACAAAUGCCCUGCUUCCAGGAAAAGCCUCUAAGCAUCAGGUAACAUCAAAUCGUACCCCAAACCGACACAGGUGGUCAGGUAGAGAAUACCAAGGCGCUUGAGAGAACUCGGGUGAAGGAACUAGGCAAAAUGGUGCCGUAACUUCGGGAGAAGGCACGCUGGUGUGUAGGUGAAGUCCCUGCGGAUGGAGCUGAGACCAGUCGAAGAUACCAGCUGGCUGCAACUGUUUAUUAAAAACACAGCACUGUGCAAACACGAAAGUGGACGUAUACGGUGUGACGCCUGCCCGGUGCCGGAAGGUUAAUUGAUGGGGUUAUCCGUAAGGAGAAGCUCUUGAUCGAAGCCCCGGUAAACGGCGGCCGUAACUAUAACGGUCCUAAGGUAGCGAAAUUCCUUGUCGGGUAAGUUCCGACCUGCACGAAUGGCGUAAUGAUGGCCAGGCUGUCUCCACCCGAGACUCAGUGAAAUUGAACUCGCUGUGAAGAUGCAGUGUACCCGCGGCAAGACGGAAAGACCCCGUGAACCUUUACUAUAGCUUGACACUGAACAUUGAGCCUUGAUGUGUAGGAUAGGUGGGAGGCUUUGAAGCGUGGACGCCAGUCUGCGUGGAGCCAACCUUGAAAUACCACCCUUUAAUGUUUGAUGUUCUAACGUAGGCCCCUUAUCGGGGUUGCGGACAGUGUCUGGUGGGUAGUUUGACUGGGGCGGUCUCCUCCCAAAGCGUAACGGAGGAGCACGAAGGUUAGCUAAUCCUGGUCGGACAUCAGGAGGUUAGUGCAAUGGCAUAAGCUAGCUUGACUGCGAGCGUGACGGCGCGAGCAGGUGCGAAAGCAGGUCAUAGUGAUCCGGUGGUUCUGAAUGGAAGGGCCAUCGCUCAACGGAUAAAAGGUACUCCGGGGAUAACAGGCUGAUACCGCCCAAGAGUUCAUAUCGACGGCGGUGUUUGGCACCUCGAUGUCGGCUCAUCACAUCCUGGGGCUGAAGUAGGUCCCAAGGGUAUGGCUGUUCGCCAUUUAAAGUGGUACGCGAGCUGGGUUUAGAACGUCGUGAGACAGUUCGGUCCCUAUCUGCCGUGGGCGCUGGAGAAUUGAGGGGGGCUGCUCCUAGUACGAGAGGACCGGAGUGGACGCAUCACUGGUGUUCGGGUUGUCAUGCCAAUGGCACUGCCCGGUAGCUAAAUGCGGAAGAGAUAAGUGCUGAAAGCAUCUAAGCACGAAACUUGCCCCG
rnacentral:rRNA from 1 species